AGGAUUCCCUUAGUAAUGGCGAAUGAACAGGGAUUAGCUCAACAUGGAAAUUGUGGCAUCUCGCCAUGAAUUGUAAUCUCUCGAUGCAUUGCCAAUGGAGGCGCAGAUGUAAGCCGCUUGGAAAAGCGAAUCAUGGAGGGUGAGAAUCCUGUUUGUCAUCUGCAGUCCUUUGUGUUCGGCGUGCAUUCUAAGAGUCACGUUCCUUGGGAGUGGAGCGCAAAUUGGGUGGUAAAUUUCAUCUCAAGCUAAAUAUGGGUUCGAAACCGAUAGCAAACAAGUACCAUGAGGGAAAGAUGAAAAGGACUUUGAAAAGAGAGUUAAAAGUGCCUGAACUUGCUGAAAGGAAAGCGGAUGGAACCAGUCUGCUUGGUGAGAUUGUCGCGCGCAGCAUUGAUCGUUUAUUCGCACAGCGCAAGCGUGCGGGUUUUCUGUGAUGUGUUCGGGCGUGAUGUUUCUUGCCUGGUGAGUCACUGGCAGUUUGCAGGUGGGGAUAACUCUUGGGACAUGGUAGCUUGUCUGCGGAUGGGUGAAUGUGCCCUGUAGGACCCACCAGCGUACUGUAUUUUUUUGUUUGGUUGCGUUGCUGUGCUCUCCUCCGCUUACGGUGGUGUGGAGCGCUUGCACCUUCCUUACAAUGUUUGGUGACGAAAUGGUUCUAUUCGACCCG
rnacentral:rRNA from 1 species